AACACUCUGCUGGGAAAAUGGGUAGCAGCCUAGAGAAGUGCAAAAGAGUGGCUGAGUGGUUGCAAGGGUUGUGGUUUGGGAUUUAAGGUGACAUCUGUUUCCAUGGCUACGGGAAGGGGUAUAUUAUGAGAUUUCACCUGAAUGGGGUUCUUCAGGUUAUCAAGCUUGUGUGGCAAGAGCUUUUCACCUGCUGACCAUCUUGCUAGCUCUAUAUCAAGUUCAAAUCCAGCCUGCAAUCCUAGCUGCUCAGGAAGAAGAUGCCAGAAGACUGCAAGUUUAAGACUCUGCCUAGGCAACUUAGGAAGACCCUGUCUCAAAACAAAAAGAGGCCAAAAGCUACUGUCAGAAUCCCAUGAACUGGAGAUACAGACGCUUGUGAACCUUCAUCCGGAUGCUGGGAAUCAAAUCCAGGUCAGAUGGAAAAGCAGCCAGUGCUUUUAACUGGUGAGCACCUCUCCAGCCUCAAAUUUAGCUUUUUCAAGCUUUGCUCUUUGUUGGGUGUUAAAGCCUGUGCAAAGUGCACAUGUUCAGAACCAGUGCUAUAGGAUGCAACAUGGGCUAACCCCAGGUUCACUAUGCACUUGACUUUUGUAUUAAGUUUUAGCUCUGCGCAUUCAGAAACCUUUUACUGCUGCCAAAUAUCUUGCAACUCUACCACAUUCAGUUACAUAAUAUCAUAAGCAGCUUUGAGCUUCAAAGUUCAGAGUUCAGGGAGGAUUGAAAGAGAAUGCUCUGGGAGUAGUUACUGGGAAGCAGUGGUAUGUAUCUGAUCUGCCCUCUGGGGGCCAGUAGACUGAAAAAGGAACUCAUCCACCCCUUUGUGAGGGGUGCAGGAUGGGAAUAGUGGCCAGAAAGAUGGGUACAGUGAUGGAAUUAAUGGUGUUA